ACUCAGAAAGUUGGUCACCAAGGCCAAGGCUGCUCUGAUCCAAGAUGUUGGGUAGUGCUUUUCUUUUUUAAUGAUGAUGCCCUUUUUUAUUUGCUCUCUCACUUCAUAGGUCAUCAUGAACAUCAAUAUUGGGACUCUAUAUAUCAACGGUGUCACUGCCUGCUCUUCUGCUCUCGUGCUGAGGUGGAAAAUUCCACUCCCUCUGUCACGCCCCCCCCCCCCCUCCUCCUCCUCCUCCUCCUCCUCCUCCUCCUCCACACCCAUCUGAUCAGCCUUCACCAUUUUCACCUGCUGCUCCCUCUUAGCCAGGUGUUAUUGCACCAUGGCCUUGGACUUCUCUUAUCUGUUGCUGCCCUUACAACAGAGAGCCUGCUGCUGGUUCUUUCAUACCUGCUUUCUUUGAGAAUGACAGAUCACUUAUUUCCUCAAACAAAAUACCACCAAACCAAAGAGGUUGUCAGAAAAGAGAAUUCUUCAAGUUCUUCCUGUUUGGGAUGGUUCUCCUGGCUCAGUGGUUAA
rnacentral:lncRNA from 1 species